ACGGGGUGCAGCAGGCGCGAAACCUCCACAAUUCACGCAAGUGAGAUGGGGUUACCUCGAGUGCCGUCUGAAGAAGGCGGCUUUUCCAUGGUGUAAUAAGCCGUGGGAAUAAGGGGGGGGCAAGACUGGUGUCAGCCGCCGCGGUAACACCAGCCCCCCGAGUGGUGGGGAUGAUUAUUUGGCCUAAAGCGUCCGUAGCCGGCUUUGUAAAUCUCUCGUUAAAUCCAGCGUCCUAAGCGUUGGGCUGCGAGAGACACUGCAGAGCUAGAGGGUGGGAGAGGUCAGCGGUAUUCCUGGGGUAGGGGCGAAAUCCAUUGAUCCCAGGAGGACCACCAGUGGCGAAGGCUGCUGUCCAGAACACGCCUGACGGUCAGGGACGAAAGCUGGGGUAGCGAAUCGGAUUAGAUACCCGAGUAGUCCCAGCCGUAAACGAUGCAGGCUAGGUGUUGGGUCGGCCACGCGCCGCCUCAGUGCCACAGGGAAGCCAUUAAGCCUGCCGCCUGGGGAGUACGGCCGCAAGGCUGAAACUUAAAGGAAUUGGCGGGGGAGCACCACCAGGCGUGAAGCCUGCGGUUUAAUUGGAGUCAACGCCGGGAACCUUACCGGGAGCGACAGCAGAGUGAAGGCCAGGCUGAAGGUCUUGCCAGACGAGCUGAGAGGAGGUGCAUGGCCGUCGCCAGUUCGUGCCGUGAGGUGUCCUCUUAAGUGAGGUAACGAACGAGACCCGUGCCCCAUGUUGCCAGCAAAUCCUAAAGGGAUGUUGGGCACUCUUGGGG
rnacentral:rRNA from 1 species